UCCUCGUUAGUAUAGUGGACAGUAUCUCCGCCUGUCAUCACGGAAGAACCGGGGUUCGGUUCCCCAGCCGGGGGU